CAUUAAGAAGCUAUGUACCAGCACUAGCCUUUUAAGCUAGAGAAAGAGGCUUAAUGCCUCCUUAAUGA
rnacentral:tRNA from 1 species